rnacentral:rRNA from 1 species
UGGGGAAUUGUUCACAAUGGGCGCAAGCCUGAUGACGCAACGCCGCGUGGAGGAUGAAGGUCUUCGGAUUGUAAACUCCUGUUGCCCGGGACGAAAUGCUCCAACCUAAUACGUUGGAGUUUGACGGUACCGGGUGAGGAAGCCCCGGCUAACUCUGUGCCAGCAGCCGCGGUAAUACAGAGGGGGCAAGCGUUGUUCGGAAUUACUGGGCGUAAAGGGCGCGUAGGCGGCCUGCUAAGUCGAACGUGAAAUCCCUGGGCUCAACCCAGGAACUGCGUCCGAUACUGGUUGGCUUGAAUCCGGGAGAGGGAUGCGGAAUUCCAGGUGUAGCGGUGAAAUGCGUAGAUAUCUGGAGGAACACCGGUGGCGAAGGCGGCAUCCUGGACCGGCAUUGACGCUGAGGCGCGAAAGCCAGGGGAGCAAACGGG